rnacentral:lncRNA from 1 species
CCAGAUCUAGAAACAAAGCAACCUACCUGAAAUUGAAUCCGGGCCAUUAAUUUCCCUUCCCUAUAUGUUCAUCUUCAUCCCCUCCACUUUUACUCUUAAACCCACUUUUUUUCUCCUCCAUUGUCGCUCUAUUUGGGUUCUAUUUUCUGCUUGUUCUGAUCUCAAAUAAUCCAUGAAAUUGCAUCAAUUGAUCUCAUUUUCUUCAACACUUUAAUAUCCAAUCAAAUCAGAUUUUGCUCAUCUCUCUUUCUCUCUCUAGAAAUCAAAACCUACAAUAAAGCAAAAACAAAUCAAAUUCACAAAAUUGAAAAGAAGAAUGCCAAAGUACUGUGAAAUUAUGGUUUUCAAACUUAUUGGAAGGGCUUUUCAAACUCAAUUUGUGGCAGACCCUAUCUCCAUGUCCGGUGCCAUCCCCAUGUCCUUGUUUUUUCUUUGAAACGAUGAUACCUAAUCAUUUCUUCCACUGCCUCAGCCAACCUGUUCACAUCAAAACUCCAAAUUCAUUAUUGAAGUUAGUGAAGAGGAAGAUUUUGAGUGGAGAUAUUUUUGGGUUUAGUGUAUCUAUAAGAUGAAGAUGAAUCUUAGGAGUAGAGAUGUAUUUGAGUGUAGGAGUAAAGAAAAAACAGAUCUGUAGUUUAUUUGGGUAGAUGUGUU